UACGUAGGGCGCAAGCGUUAUCCGGAAUUAUUGGGCGUAAAGAGCUCGUAGGCGGUUUGUCGCGUCUGCCGUGAAAGUCCGGGGCUCAACUCCGGAUCUGCGGUGGGUACGGGCAGACUAGAGUGAUGUAGGGGAGACUGGAAUUCCUGGUGUAGCGGUGAAAUGCGCAGAUAUCAGGAGGAACACCGGUGGCGAAGGCGGGUCUCUGGGCCGAAAUUGACGCUGAGGAGCGAAAGCGGUGGGAGCAAACAGG
rnacentral:rRNA from 1 species